rnacentral:rRNA from 1 species
GUUAGGAAUCUUCCACAAUGGGGGCAACCCUGAUGGAGCAACACCGCGUGCUGGAUGAAGGCCUUCGGGUCGUAAACAGCUUUUGUAUACGAAGAAUAUGACGGUAAUAUACGAAUAAGGGUCGGCUAACUACGUGCCAGCAGCCGCGGUCAUACGUAGGACCCAAGCGUUAUCCGGAGUGACUGGGCGUAAAGAGUUGCGUAGGCGGCUUAUUAAGCGAGUAGUGAAAUCUGGUGGCUCAACCAUCAACACAUUGCUCGAACUGAUAGGCUUGAGAAUGGUAGAGGUAGUUGGAAUUUCUUGUGUAGGAGUGAAAUCCGUAGAUAUAAGAAGGAACACCAAUGGCGUAGGCAGACUACUGGACCAUUUCUGACGCUGAGGCACGAAAGCGUGGGGAGCGAACCGGAUUAGAAACUCCUGUAGUCC